rnacentral:rRNA from 1 species
UACGUAGGGUGCAAGCGUUGUCCGGAAUUAUUGGGCGUAAAGAGCUCGUAGGCGGCUCGUCGCGUCGACCGUGAAAACCCGCGGCUCAACUGCGGGUCUGCAGUCGAUACGGGCAGGCUAGAGUUCGGUAGGGGAGACUGAAUUCCUGGUGUAGCGGUGAAAUGUGCAGAUAUCAGGAGGAACACCGGUGGCGAAGGCGGGUCUCUGG